CGGCUGUAGCCAAAUCAAACCGAUCUAAGAAGCUAACUGGCCGGUUGUUGUGAGAUCUUUCUUGGAUCUCUGUCGAUAAAUCUGCUUACCGAGCUUCUCACAUUU